rnacentral:misc_RNA from 1 species
GAGAAGAACGUAGCGAAAUGCGAUACUUGGUGUGAAUUGCAGAAUCCCGUGAACCAUCGAGUCUUUGAACGCAAGUUGCGCCCGAAGCCGUCAGGCCGAGGGCACGCCUGCCUGGGCGUCACACGCCGUUGCCCCCCCGCGCCCCGCACCCAACGCUUUGGGAGCGACCGCGGGGCGGGCUGAUGAUGGCCUCCCGUGCGCUCCGCCGCGCGGUUGGCCCAAAUACCGAGUCCCCGGCGACGUGCGCCACGACGAUCGGUGGUUGAGAGACCUCUGUCGCAAGUCGUGCGCGCCCGUCGCGUCACGCGGGCUCGCAUAGCGCCUCGCGCCGCACCCGGUGCGGAGCUUUCAACGCGACCCCAGGUCAGGCGGGGUUACCCGCUGAAUUUAAGCAUAUCAAUAAGCGGAGG